rnacentral:rRNA from 1 species
GGUGUUGAUAGCUAUGAGGCUCCACCUGUUCCCAUUCCGAACACAGAAGUUAAGCUCAUAAACGUCGAAAAUACUUGGUUGGUGACGACCCGGAAAGAU